AGGCUAGCGAGGGGUAAGGCCGCAGGCGGAGGGAGGCUGGGCUCUGUCUGCCUGCUGCACGGCUCCGUAAAUCAGGGCGGGCUGUGCUGCUGUCGGGAUUCCUGCGCCGUCUGGAAAUUCUCUGUGUGUCCAUCAGCACCUGCACCGUCGGGGAGGCUGAACCUGGGGCUCCAAGCGGAGAGAAUGAACCAGCAUCAAUUUUAUUCAAAGAGAGAAAUUUGAGCAUAUUGGACUGAAAUGAUCUCCCUUCAAAGCUAUUUCUGAAUAAUCGUGCAGAAAUGUAAUAAGCCAGGUAUAUGGUAAAAUUCAAAACAUAUUUGGUUUGGGCCUCUGAGAUCUGGAGCUCUGCUAGUCACUGCCAAAGCAAAGCUGUCCCAAAAUUGACCUGAAGAAACUCUGCACAUUCUGGUGAAGUCCUGGAGGUUCAGAAGAUCAGAGGAGGAAGUCUGUAGCUGGUGAAAAUCAGAGGUUACAUUUAUGAGAAAACUCUGCAGCUCAGCCUGCGUUUCCUUGUAGUGGCCGCAGGCUGAUGUAAUGCAACUCCCACUCCCUAAUUGAUUGAGACGAUCACGUUUCCUUGCAAAGAAACAAAAGAAAACAGUCAGUAGUGCUGAAUAAAGGACAAUUUACCAACAGCCUUCUAAUGUUUAGCUGUUCCA